rnacentral:rRNA from 1 species
CGAACGGGUGAGUAACGCGUGAGGAACCUGCCUCAAAGAGGGGGACAACAGUGGAAACGACUGCUAAUACCGCAUAAGCCCACGGGUCGGCAUCGACCUGAGGGAAAAGGAGCAAUCCGCUUUGAGAUGGCCUCGCGUCCGAUUAGCUAGUUGGUGAGGUAAUGGCCCACCAAGGCGACGAUCGGUAGCCGGACUGAGAGGUUGAACGGCCACAUUGGGACUGAGACACGGCCCAG